rnacentral:tRNA from 1 species
AGUUAACGCAACACAACCCGGGACUGCAAAAGAUCUUAAACCCUUUUUAUAGAGGUUCAAACCCUCUCGUUAACU